GGCCUUGUCUGCAAUGAACCAACUAGUUUGUAGACCAAGAGAUGGCGUCAGGAUAUCUGUUAGGUUGACCCUGUCAACUCACAUAGGACAGGGAAGUUGAAAACUGUAAAGGAUGAAGUUACCACAGGGGCUUUUAGGGGAGAAGGAGAGAGGCAGCUGCAUCGAGGAGGAGAUAAAAGGUCCAGUCUGAAUAAACCAUUAUCCUGCAAACAGUGCACAGUUGAAGUCUUCUCCCUCGUCCUGCAAAGAAGAAAGUGUGAAUCCGAUAAACAAGUAACUUCCUGAACCCUAAGAAAGCGUGAUUGUCGGUUGUGUUGAUUAUUUAGGAAGAUUACAAACCAGAAGAUGAGGAAGACGAUGGUGAGAAAAGCUGGGUCUUAAGCUUAGGCUGCUGGGUUUUCAUGAUCAGGUUCCGCCACCUCUUCUAAUUAAUUUAUCUUCUUCAUUGUUUUUGUAACUAUCACUUGAUCAAUUUUGAUGUUUAGCUCUUUGUUUUUGAUGGGUAGCAUAGUUUGCUUUUGAUUACAUGAGGCAUUUGUACGUUUUGAGUGAAUGAGUAUUGACCAAUGUGGGUUGUCAAUUUUUUUGAUAUCCUUACAAUUCCUGGGAAUUCUCACCGCUAUUGAAUCCCAGAGCAAGUCAUUAAAACUCUUUUUAAUCCCAUUUUUAACAAACCACCCCGGAAAUUCUCACUUUGCUUACAUAUGCCAAGUUAUAGGUCCCAGAGCUGCAAUCAAAAUCAAAGGCAGUUGGUUCUUUCCCAAAGAAGAGGAAAAUCAGACACUUUAAGGAAACUCUAUAAGCUGAGAUUAAGAUGCUCAGGAAGAAGCUGACCUUUAAAGCAACUCCAAUUCCUAAUGCUGAUCCUAUUUCUAAUAUCUCUAGGUAGUUGUUCAAGUCGGUAGCACCUGUUGAGUUUAAGGGUCUGUAGAUUCUGCAGUUUGCUGAUAGAAGCAGGGAGUGCUAUCACACUAACAUUAGCAGAGAGGUCAAGGUACAUAAGAUGGGUCAACUUGCCUAGGCUCAUCAAUUCUUAGGUUAUGUAGAUCUAACACACGCAAGCACCUCAAGUUUGAAAUGAUUGUAUUGUGACGAUGCUUGAUCCUGAAGUGGUAAUGCUGAUUUCAAUUUCACAUUGGUUAACUUUUUGUCAAAUCAAUUUUAUGGACCAUUUGAUUGUUCUUUUUCUUCAA